GACGAACGCUGGCGGCGUGGAUUAGGCAUGCAAGUCGAACGGUAUCAUCCUUUCGGGGGUGAGAGAGUGGCGAACUGGUGAGUAACACGUAGGUUAUCUACCCUCAAGACGGGGACAACCCAGGGAAACUUGGGCUAAUACCGGAUGUGAGCAACUUUUAGUUGUUUGAAAGGUGGCGUAAGCUGUCGCUUGGGGAUGAGCCUGCGUCCUAUUAGUUAGUUGGUGAGGUAACGGCUCACCUAGGCAAUGAUAGGUAGGCGGCCUUAACGGGUGGUCGCCCACACUGGGAUUGAGAUACGGCCCAGACUCCUACGGGAGGCAGCAGUCGAGAAUAGUCUACAAUGGUCGGAAGACUGAUAGUGCGACGCCGCGUGAACGAUGAAUCCCUUCGGGGUGUAAAGUUCUUUUAUAUGUGAGCAGUGCUUCUUAUAUUAACAGUAUGGGGAGAGAGAUAUUAGCAUAUGAAUAAGCAACGGCUAACUCCGUGCCAGCAGCCGACGGUAAAACG
rnacentral:rRNA from 1 species